rfam:Camelus ferus unplaced genomic scaffold scaffold803, whole genome shotgun sequence.
GUGGGUAGAGCUCACUGGCAGAGCACGUGCUUAGCGUGCAUAAGGUCCUGGAUUCAAUCCCCAGUACCUCCA